CCUACGGGAGGCAGCAGUAGGGAAUCUUCGGCAAUGGGCGAAAGCCUGACCGAGCAACGCCGCGUGAGCGAUGAAGGCCUUCGGGUCGUAAAGCUCUGUUGUUAGAGAAGAACAAGUACGAGAGUAACUGCUCGUACCUUGACGGUACCUAACCAGAAAGCCACGGCUAACUACGUGCCAGCAGCCGCGGUAAUACGUAGGUGGCAAGCGUUAUCCGGAAUUAUUGGGCGUAAAGCGCGCGCAGGCGGUCUCUUAAGUCUGAUGUGAAAGCCCACGGCUCAACCUCGUGGAGGGUCAUUGGAAACUGGGAGACUUGAGUGCAGGAGAGAAAAGUGGAAUUCCACGUGUAGCGGUGAAAUGCGUAGAGAUGUGGAGGAACACCAGUGGCGAAGGCGGCUUUUUGGCCUGUAACUGACGCUGAGGCGCGAAAGCGUGGGGAGCAAACAGGAUUAGAUACCCUGGUAGUCCACGCCGUAAACGAUGAGUGCUAGGUGUUGGGGGGUUCCACCCUCAGUGCUGAAGUUAACACAUUAAGCACUCCGCCUGGGGAGUACGACCGCAAGGUUGAAACUCAAAGGAAUUGACGGGGGCCCGCACAAGCAGUGGAGCAUGUGGUUUAAUUCGAAGCAACGCGAAGAACCUUAC
rnacentral:rRNA from 1 species